UUGCACUAGAUACUAACCUGACUGUCUGCUGCCCAGUAGCUUUUGCUACUGGUGCACUUUAGUGCCUGUUGGGUCAGAAUGGUGCUACAGCAAAAUAAGUCCUGAGAUUUUAGCUCUGAGUGGGAAGUCACUACCUCAGGUGUUAUGACUCAGAGACACAUGC